AGAACCAGGGAGAAGAGAGUUUGAAUCUUUCCAUCUAGAGACGCAAUACUUCCAUGAUCAUGCAACUUUCACAGUAGUUGUUGGCCUGAACCAGCAGUGCGAGCAAGUGAAUGCUCCUGAUCCAAUUAUCAACACUUGCAGUGACUUUUACAAAUUCUGGC